rnacentral:rRNA from 1 species
CAAAGGUGAGCCAGUACAGGAUGGACCCGCGUCUGAUUAGCUAGUUGGUAAGGUAACGGCUUACCAAGGCGACGAUCAGUAGCCGACCUGAGAGGGUGAUCGGCCACAUUGGAACUGAGACACGGUCCAAACUCCUACGGGAGGCAGCAGUGGGGAAUAUUGCACAAUGGGCGAAAGCCUGAUGCAGCAACGCCGCGUGAGUGAUGAAGGCCUUCGGGUCGUAAAACUCUGUCCUCAAGGAAGAUAAUGACGGUACUUGAGGAGGAAGCCCCGGCUAACUACGUGCCAGCAGCCGCGGUAAUACGUAGGGGGCUAGCGUUAUCCGGAUUUACUGGGCGUAAAGGGUGCGUAGGCGGUCUUUCAAGUCAGGAGUGAAAGGCUACGGCUCAACCGUAGUAAGCUCUUGAAACUGGGAGACUUGAGCGCAGGAGAGGAGAGUGGAAUUCCUAGUGUAGCGGUGAAAUGCGUAGAUAUUAGGAGGAACACCAGUUGCGAAGGCGGCUCUCUGGACUGUAACUGACGCUGAGGCACGAAAGCGUGGGGAGCAAACAGGAUUAGAUACCCUGGUAGUCCACGCUGUAAACGAUGAGUACUAGGUGUCGGGGGUUACCCCCUUCG